rnacentral:rRNA from 1 species
CAAUAGCGUAUAUUAAAGUUGUUGCAGUUAAAAAGCUCGUAGUUGGAUUUCUUGGAGGGUGCCAAUGUCCGCUACGGCGUGCGCAGCGGCGCCCUUCCAUCCUUCUGUUAACGCCUCUUGGCAUUCGUUUGCUGGUGGCGGGCUCAGAUAUUUUACCUUGAGAAAAUUAGAGUGUUUCAGGCAGGCUAGGCCGGAAUACAUUAGCAUGGAAUAAUGGAACAGGACUUUGGUCUCUUUGUUGGUUUGAGGGACUGCAGUAAUGAUUAAUAGGGACAGUUGGGGGCAUUAGUAUUUAAUUGUCAGAGGUGGAAUUCUCAGAUUUGUUAAAGACUAACUUAUGCGAAAGCAUUUGCCAAGGAUGUUUNCAUUA